rnacentral:rRNA from 1 species
CCUGCCUGACUGACCGGGACAACACUUGGAAACGGGUGCUAAUACCGGAUACGCUCAUUGAUACGCAUGUAUUAAUGAGGAAAGGGGAAACUCGCAGACAGAUGGGUCCGCGUCCCAUUAGCUAGUUGGAGGUGUAAUGGACCCCCAAGGCGACGAUGGGUAGCCGGCCUGAGAGGGUGAACGGCCACACUGGAACUGAGACACGGUCCAGACUCCUACGGGAGGCAGCAGUGGGGAAUCUUCCGCAAUGGGCGAAAGCCUGACGGAGCAACGCCGCGUGAGUGAAGAAUGCCUUCGGGUUGUAAAACUCUGUCUUCAGGGAAGAAACAAAUGACGGUACCUGAGGAGGAAGCCCCGGCUAACUACGUGCCAGCAGCCGCGGUAAAACGUAGGGGGCGAGCGUUGUCCGGAAUUACUGGGCGUAAAGGGCGCGUAGGCGGUUAUCCAAGUCAGGGGUGAAAACUCUGGGCUCAACUCAGAGCCUGCCUCUGAAACUGGGUGACUUGAGGGCAGGAGAGGGGAGUGGAAUUCCCAGUGUAGCGGUGAAAUGCGUAGAUAUUGGGAGGAACACCAGUGGCGAAGGCGGCUCUCUG